GCUCCGAUGACCUAAUGGUCGGAGCGACCGCCUCGGAUGCGGGGGGUCGUGGGUUCGAUCCCCGGUCGAGUCA